rnacentral:rRNA from 1 species
ACAUUUCUUAUAGAUUUUUUUGUAAGUAAAGCCUGCCCACUGUAAAAAUAAAGGGCCGCGGUAUUCUGACCGUGCAAAGGUAGCAUAAUCAUUAGUCUUUUAAUUGAGGAAUUGUAUGAAUGGUUAAAUGAUUUUUUUCUAUAUAUUUUAUUAUUUAAAUUUUAAAAAUUUGAUUAUAAGUGAAAAUACUUAUUUUUUUUAAAUAGACGAUAAGACCCUAUAGAAUUUUAUUGUUAGGGUUAUAGUUAUAGUUUAUGCAGUUUGAUUGGGGCAAUGUAAGAAUAUAAAUAAUUUCUUUUUUUUAUUAUUUAAAAUUAUCUUUUUUUUAUAGUAACCAAAUUACCUUAGGGAUAACAGCGUAAUUAUUAUUAAGAGCUCUUAUCGACAUAAUAGAUUGCGACCUCGAUGUUGAAUUAAAAAUUUCUUUAUAGGAGCAGAAUUUUAUAUUAAGUAGUCUGUUCGACUAUUAAAUUUUUACAUGAUCUGAGU